rnacentral:rRNA from 1 species
GACGAACGCUGGCGGCGUGCCUAACACAUGCAAGUCGAGCGGGGAUUUAAGUGGAAGUUCUUCGGAAUGGAGAUUUAAAUUCUAGCGGCGGACGGGUGAGUAACGCGUGAACAAUCUGUCCCGGACAGGGGGAUAACACUUGGAAACAGGUGCUAAUACCGCAUAAGACCACGGCCUCGCAUGGGGCUGAGGUAAAAGGAGCAAUCCGGUUCGGGGUGAGUUCGCGUCCGAUUAGCUAGUUGGUGAGGUAACGGCCCACCAAGGCGACGAUCGGUAGCCGGCCUGAGAGGGUGAACGGCCACAUGGGAACUGAGAGACGGUCCAAACUCCUACGGGAGGCAGCAGUGGGGAAUAUUGGGCAAUGGGCGAAAGCCUGACCCAGCAACGCCGCGUGAGGGAAGAAGGUUUUCGGAUUGUAAACCUCUGUCCUAUGGGACGAAGGAAGUGACGGUACCAUAGGAGGAAGCCCCGGCUAACUACGUG